AAAAUAAAAAGUGAUUUGUUCUCUUUCUUUUAUUUUUAUUCCUCUUUUAUUUAACAAGAUAAUAAGGUAGUAAAUAAAUUAGCAUAAUGUAGAUGAUAUAGUUAGAUAACAAUAAACAUAAACAUAAAAUACUUGAAGUAAAGUGAUCAAAAGAAAAAAAUAAAAAAAAAAAAUAAAGUGCAAUAAUAUAAAUGUUAGGAGUUAGUAAUUAGUAGUUAGUAACAAUAAGCAAAUGGAUUAGCAAGUUAAUGUAAAGACAUGGUUUCAUCUAUGCAUCAAAUGACCCAAAUAUGGUUAAAAUAGAGGCAAUCUAUCAAUGCCUCAAAGUAUCAUGAAUGAUCUAUUGAUCAACCAUAGAUAGGUUUGAAACAUUGAAGAUUUAAUCAACUCUAAACAACCAUGGUCAAGAUCUAAUAGACCUCAUCAACCAAACAAACACAACAACAAGUCCAUAAUAAAAGAAAAUGAUAACAUACACAAAGCAACCACAAAAAGGUGAAAAAGGAUAGUAAGAGUAAAAAAUCUUUAAAAAAGGGUGAGUAAACCAAAGUCAAUCUUUUUUUGCAAGCUUGAAUCUAAACCAUCUCA
rnacentral:lncRNA from 1 species